rnacentral:lncRNA from 1 species
UUUUUUAAAUUUUAUAAAAGAUAUAAUAUUUUAGUUUCUUUUUAACUUUAAAUAAAAUUUGAAUUCAAAUUAUUUUUAAUUUAAAUCAUUUUGAAUUCAAUUUUUUUUUAAAUUUAAACCAUUUUAUACUAAGAUUUUCUUCAGUUUGAAUUUUUUUUUUGAUAAAUCGUAUUUGAUGGAUUAAUAUUUUAAUUGAUUCAAAAAAUAAUUCAUGGAUGAUCAACUUGUAUUUCCAGUGAAUAGCAUGUAUUAUUAAUAAAUUGUCUUGAUAUUUAACAUAAAUACAAUAAAAAAAUCCAGAUCCCAAAAGGUUGACUUUUGGUAUUAGUGAUGGCUUAAUGGGCUCAAAGUCAUAAACUUGGUAUGAACUCAGAAGGGACCAAAACUCUUAUCAGUUCCCUUACAUUCUCCAGUCUUCAGCCACAGAAAAAGUCAAUAAUCCAGGGAGAAAAGAAAGGGGUAGCAAAGAAGGAAGAACAAAUGAAUCAGAACACGAGCUCUUUGUUGAUUGGAUUAGUUGGAGCAGCAAUCACCUUAUCUGCGUAUUCACAGACUUUCAUCUCCCCAACUCAGUGUGUCACUGUUGGCUUCCUUGUUCUCAUGUUUGGCUUGCUUGUACGAGAAGGUCUCAUUUCUCUCUAGUCUGUUGAAUUCAUCUCUGGGUUUUUUUUUUCUUUUUUAAUUUCAUGAUGUUUUCAUUUCGGAGAUUGAGAUUUUAAUAUAUGGUAUCUGGUUUUCUGCUAAGUUGUAUUGUGUCAGCUGCUGUUUUCUUACAUAAAAUCCUUAAAUUCAUACUAGUUUUUCGUCUUGUAAGAAUCUUUUUGAGGUCAUUUCACAUUUUGGAAUUUGGGGUCAGUUUGUUUAAAAUUAAAGAAAUUUCAGUACUUAAAGUUUACUUUUCUGUGUGGAUCAAUUGAGUAUGAUAUUGUUGACUGAAAAAAGAGCCUAAUUAAAAACUUUAUUGGUAAAAGAAGGCUGCUAGUGGGGCCUCAGCCCUGGAUGUUGAUCGACAAAAUUUUCAGGUGAGUUUGUCUUUCAGUAGAAUCUAUAUUAACCUCUUCCUUUCUGCCUGAUACAAAUUGAACAUUCAAAACUUGUUAAAUUCAUGUCCUAUCCCAAGACAAACUUAAUUGUCCUUCAUUGGUUUUGCAUAUAAAAUUUGUUGGUAAAAUUUUACUAUGAAUCGUUGAAACAUUUAUCAGAUUCUAGCAUUUCUUCGGAAGAGAUUAUUAAAAAUGUCUGAGACUGUAGAAAAAGGCUUAACAUUUUUUCCCCACACAGAAUAGGUUAGUUUUGGUUAAGGUAACGAUAAAAUUAAUUAUUAUACUGAUAAAAUUAAAUAUUAUAACGAUAUGAUUAUAU